UACAGGCUUAACACAUGCAAGUCGAGGGGCAGCAUGGUCUUAGCUUGCUAAGGCCGAUGGCGACCGGCGCACGGGUGAGUAACACGUAUCCAACCUGCCGUCUACUCUUGGACAGCCUUCUGAAAGGAAGAUUAAUACAAGAUGGCAUCAUGAGUCCGCAUGUUCACAUGAUUAAAGGUAUUCCGGUAGACGAUGGGGAUGCGUUCCAUUAGAUAGUAGGCGGGGUAACGGCCCACCUAGUCUUCGAUGGAUAGGGGUUCUGAGAGGAAGGUCCCCCACAUUGGAACUGAGACACGGUCCAAACUCCUACGGGAGGCAGCAGUGAGGAAUAUUGGUCAAUGGGCGAGAGCCUGAACCAGCCAAGUAGCGUGAAGGAUGACUGCCCUAUGGGUUGUAAACUUCUUUUAUAAAGGAAUAAAGUCGGGUAUGGAUACCCGUUUGCAUGUACUUUAUGAAUAAGGAUCGGCUAACUCCGUGCCAGCAGCCGCGGUAAUACGGAGGAUCCGAGCGUUAUCCGGAUUUAUUGGGUUUAAAGGGAGCGUAGAUGGAUGUUUAAGUCAGUUGUGAAAGUUUGCGGCUCAACCGUAAAAUUGCAGUUGAUACUGGAUAUCUUGAGUGCAGUUGAGGCAGGCGGAAUUCGUGGUGUAGCGGUGAAAUGCUUAGAUAUCACGAAGAACUCCGAUUGCGAAGGCAGCCUGCUAAGCUGCAACUGACAUUGAGGCUCGAAAGUGUGGGUAUCAAACAGGAUUAGAUACCCUGGUAGUCCACACGGUAAACGAUGAAUACUCGCUGUUUGCGAUAUACAGCAAGCGGCCAAGCGAAAGCGUUAAGUAUUCCACCUGGGGAGUACGCCGGCAACGGUGAAACUCAAAGGAAUUGACGGGGGCCCGCACAAGCGGAGGAACAUGUGGUUUAAUUCGAUGAUACGCGAGGAACCUUACCCGGGCUUAAAUUGCAGAUGAAUUACGGUGAAAGCCGUAAGCCGCAAGGCAUCUGUGAAGGUGCUGCAUGGUUGUCGUCAGCUCGUGCCGUGAGGUGUCGGCUUAAGUGCCAUAACGAGCGCAACCCUUGUUGUCAGUUACUAACAGGUUCCGCUGAGGACUCUGACAAGACUGCCAUCGUAAGAUGUGAGGAAGGUGGGGAUGACGUCAAAUCAGCACGGCCCUUACGUCCCGGGCUACACACGUGUUACAAUGGGGGGUACAGAGGGCCGCUACCACGCGAGUGGAUGCCAAUCCCCAAAACCUCUCUCAGUUCGGACUGGAGUCUGCAACCCGACUCCACGAAGCUGGAUUCGCUAGUAAUCGCGCAUCAGCCACGGCGCGGUGAAUACGUUCCCGGGCCUUGUACACACCGCCCGUCAAGCCAUGGGAGCCGGGGGUACCUGAAGUGCGUAACCGCGAGGAGCGCCCUAGGGUAAAACUGGUGACUGGGGCUAAGUCAUAACA
rnacentral:rRNA from 1 species